GCUGUUGUUGCUGCUGUCGCUGCUGCUGUUGUUGCUGCUGUCGCUGCUGCUGUUGACACUACUGUUGUUGCUGUUGCUGCUGUUUUGCUGCUGUUGUUGCCGCUACUGUUGCUGUUGUCGCUACCGUCGUUGCUACUGUUUUUGCUGUUGCUGCUGCUGCUGUUAUUGCUAUUGUUGUUGUUAGCGUACAGCACAUGCAUGGCCUUCAAUGAAUACUGUGUGGCAUAAUUACAGAAUCAUUCAGUGUCCUGUGGGGUCAGCCUACAACGCAAGUUCUACUGCUCAUUACUUACAUCAAGGGCAGCUUUCACCCCCGAGCUGCCUAACUGGGAGCCAGAAGAUAGUGUUGAAAUAAACCAGGAAAUCCGACAACCCAGCUGACAUCUCUCUUUCCCAGUCACUGUGUGGAUCAAAGUCAUGCUCCAUAGAAGGCAAAAUAGAGACUAUGCUAGCAGGGCUGCUAUGAAGAAGUGAUGCCACUGUGCUCAGUUCAGUGCCUGACUGAGAGAAGGAACUCGAUAAACUUUAGCCUCCUUUCCUCCAGACCUUCCUCCUGCUUCUACUCCCAAAUAAAGGGCUAGAGCAUCAGAACUGCAGGGAAUGUGAAAGAUCAUCCAGCUCAGUUUUAUCUUUCCAGAUUAAGUAGGGACAUACAGUGGGAAAGUGGCGGCCCAGAUGAGAGGCCAGGUUGCCCAGUUCCUCACCCGGUGGUCACCCUGGCACCACUCUGCCACCACAUCACAGUCAUGGCACUGUCAGCUCAGAGCUAAAUUCUCCUGGCAUUAUUUAACUGGGAUUGUGGCUGUCUUCAUUCUCUGAAAUUACGUCAACUAAGCUUUAAUGACCAUUAGCUACUGUGGUUUUUCCUUUCUGAGGCCGCUCAUGUCUUUGGCUAGGAACUCAUCUCUGUAAGCAUUUGUACUCUGCUCCUGUUUUCAGCAGAUCUUAAAUAUUGUGCCUGGGUCUGAGCUUCUCCUUACAAGUGCAGGAUUCUAAAUUCAAAUUCACGAGCCAGUGUCUGUUUUCUGGAGCACAUCCAAGUGUGGGUGAGUGAGAACGGGCAGUUUAUAAUCCUGAGAUGCUAAUCUACC
rnacentral:lncRNA from 10 species